rnacentral:rRNA from 1 species
CCUACGGGUGGCUGCAGUGGGGAAUAUUGCACAAUGGGGGAAACCCUGAAGCAGCGACGCAGCGUGAGUGAAGAAGUACCUAGUUAUGUAAAGCUCCAUCUGUAGGGAAGUAAAUGACGGUACCUGAGUAAGAAGCCACGGCUAACUACGUGCCAGCAGCCGUGGUAAUAUGUCGGGGGCCAGCGUUAUCCGGAUUGACUGGGUGUAAAGGGAGCGUAGACGGCAGUGCAAGUCUGGAGUGAAAGGCGGGGGCGCAACCCCCGGACUGCUCUGGAAACUGUACUGCUGGAGUGCAGGCGAGGUAAGUGGAAGUCGUGGUGUAGCGGGGAAAUGCGUAGAUAUUAGGAGGAACACC